CCGUGUGGUCGCUUUUGUCUGGUUGGUACAUGUCUCACUUGUGAUUUGGUCGGGGGAAAAAAUAAAAUAAUAAUAAAUAACAUGUCUCACUUGUGAGAAACUAUAAACCUCCAAAAAAAAAAAAUUCAAGAACGAAAGAGAAGGAACCGAUACAAUUAGUCGCACAUAUCCUUCAUAGAGUUGGGUGACGAUAUAGAUAGUCUUUUUUGACGAUAUAGAGUUGGGUUAUUUAAGUUUGUAUCAGUAGUCUAAACAUCUUAGAAGCAGGUCUUUUUGGGAUGUGGCUCCUUCCCCAUCAGAUCCUUGGUCUUGGCGUAUGCUCUUGUUCCUUAGACCUUUGGCGGAGCAAUUUGUUAAAUGCAACUUGGGUAAUGGCCGCAUAGCUCACUUCUGGCAUGACAGUUGGACUUCCCUUGGCCCGCUGAUAAAGGUUAUGGGUGAUUAUGGCUCCAGAUCACUUCGCAUCCCUCUUAACGCUAGGGUGGUUGAGGCUCUUGGGGUUAAUGGCUGGAAGCUCCCCCUUUCUCGGUCUGCUCCAGCUCAAGCCAUCCAUGACCACAUCUCUACCAUCACGACCCCCUCUCCUGCUACAAUUGAAGACUCCUUUGAUUGGGUUGUUGGUGGUGUUGUUUGUCAAGGUUUCUCUUCGGCAAGGACUUGGGAUGCUAUUAGACCAAGAGCACCGGAAUUGGACUGGGCAAAGGCUGUUUGGUUCAAGGGUGCUGUUCCUAAGCAUGCCUUCAACAUGUGGAUUAGUCAGUUGGAUAGACUCCCAACUCGUCAAAGGCUAGCCUCUUGGGGCCAUAUCCAGUCUUUCGAUUGUUGCUUAUGCACUAUUGAGACUGAAUCCAGAGACCAUCUCCUUUUUUCCUGUGAAUUUGCGGCUCAAGUUUGGAGAUUAGCGUUUUCUCGCUUAUGUCCGCGUCAGAGGCUGUUUUGCUCUUGGGCAGAGCUCCUCUCUUGGAUGCGUUCUUCCUCUUCUUCGGCGCCUUCCCUCCUCAGAAAAGUCUCAGCCCAUGCUAUCAUCUACAACAUUUGGCGUCAGCGCAACAAUGUCCUCCAUAACAAUCUUAGGAUCGCUCCUAUUAUCAUCUUCAAGAUUGUCGACCGCGAGAUUCGUAACAUCAUCUCCUCUCGUUACCACAGAAAGAGAUGGCGCAACCUCAUGGUGCUUUGGAUUCGCUAACCUUAUAUCUUCCCUAAAUCUCUAUUGUAGCCUUGUUUUAUUUUUUGCCUCGGCUACUCUUGUAUAGGCCUUUCGUUUUUGUAAAAGCCUCUUAUUCAUAUAAUGAAAAUUAACAUUUUUAGCAAAAAAAAAGUCUAAACAUAACUUUCUUUAUAGAGUUUGGUCAAAAUGUAUGAAAUGUAAAUUGAAGUUCUCACUUGGGGAACUCUAUACAUUAUUUACUCUUAAAGGC
rnacentral:sRNA from 1 species